GACAACCUCUGCCUCACCCUCCUUCACACAACACUGAGUCUGUCAUCUUUGAAGCAUUUCUCAAGCCAUGUUUAUUCCCCUGGCCUACGUGGAACACAGCCAGGCUGCUGUCUCUGGACCAUCACAGAAGUGCUAACUGCUGGGCCCUGUGGUGCACAGUUCAAGAGGACCCUAACAUCUGCUCUGCACUGUCACAUGGGCUUGGUCUCCUUAUCUCCACCAACUGCACCUCUGCGCAGAGGACAGGAAGGGGCCAAGCAGGUAACCAGAGCACGUGACUAUUUAGUAAAACCUCAGAGCUGCAUUA
rnacentral:lncRNA from 1 species